CUGCCCCUGGAGGCCGGGCUGCUCCUUGGCCCCGGCACAAGGGAAGCACUCAGCUGUGCUCCUGGCCGGCUCCCAUGGGCGGUAAGCGCUGCCUGCAGUCCCGCUUGGGAGCACGAACAUGCUCCCACCAGCAGGUGCUGCGGUGAAAAGUUUCCUGGGCUCGGUUGUCUCGGCAGGCCGGGGCAGUGCCGCCAUCCCCGGGGAGCCGGUACUCACGGAGGAUGCGUUGUCCGGGCAGGACAGCCCAUCCUGCAGGCACCUGAAUGCACCUGUAUCCCUUCGGCCCUGAGAAGAUUGCUGAAAAAUGCCCACAGCAUGGCUACCUGAAGAAUUCUGAACAGAGGAGGAAUGAAUCAGAGAAUCAAAGAAUAGUGGCUGCCCUGGAUGCCUGAACAGCCUUGGCCUUUCUAUUCCAUUGUUGCUUGAAACUGGACACACAAGCACUAUGAAAAAAGGUCUAAUUUUCUCCAUCUGGAAGCUGAAGAUAA